rnacentral:rRNA from 1 species
AUGAACGCUGACAGAAUGCUUCACCCCUGCAAGUCUUUGGCGAAGCUGUGCUUGCACAGCCUAGCCAAGGCGGACGGGUGAGUAACGCGUAAGGAACUUGCCCUGCAGUCAGGGAUAACAGACGGAAACGACUGAUAAGACCUGGUAAAGUCAGGCGGACUCAUGUCCAGCCUGAUGAAAAGAGAUGCUGCAGGAGAGCCUUGCGUCCUAUUAGCUUGUUGGUGGGGUAACGGCCCACCAAGGCGAUGAUAGGUAGCCGGCCUGAGAGGGUGGACGGCCACAAGGGGACUGAGAUACGGCCCUUACUCCUACGGGAGGCAGCAGUGGGGAAUAUUGGACAAUGGGGGCAACCCUGAUCCAGCAAUUCUGUGUGCACGAUGAAGGUUUUCGGAUUGUAAAGUGCUUUCAGCAGGGAAGAAAAAAAUGACGGUACCUGCAGAAGAAGCGACGGCUAAAUACGUG